CUGGUCUAUCCAUAUUGCCAUAUUGGCAUUUUAUCAAACAGCUGGUGUACCUGAUAGGAAGCAAAAGCCCCUAACGGUGGCCGGCGCUUCCCCCGGCUUUCUCGUCAGAUCUUGGUCGCUUCCCGCCGCCGCCGCCGCCACGGCCGGUGCCUCUGCCGCAACAAAGGUGCACACAAAAAAACAAAAACAAAUGUGACUCGCCUAUACGAGCAUUCUUGUGGGUAUUUGCCAAAUCAGAGUACACCUUUCUCCAGUUUGGCCUUGCAAAAUGUGUCCGGAUCUGUGAAACAGCGGUCAGGAAAGGAAGCAACCAUGGCGUAUCGAAUCUUAUUGCAGGUAACAGAGGGAGUGAGAAGGGAGGGAGAAAAACCUUGCUGCCGGAGACGAUAUCCACACCAUUUUUUGCGUGUUGGAGCGAUUGAACCAUGGCAAUCAGAGCUGACCUCGCAUCUCCUUCCUCGUACACACUGGUUAGGUAGUUGUGCAUCUCUAUUGCAUUCUGUACAGCAAGAGAUUAAGUUAAAAACUGGACUAUGUGGGACGUUGCUGUUUACUGAAGCAGUUACGGUUGAGCAGUACAUCGCUAUCACAUUCAGCAACUUCAUUCAUGACACCUUUGAACCAUUCAAAGGAGCCUUGUUCCCUGGUAACCCAAUAGAAGUAAGCUCGGCUUGGCCCGUUGCUCUUGAAGCUGCUGCCUGCCUCCUCGUCAUUCAUGCUUUGCUGCUCCUGUUGAAUCCAAUUCAUUUUAGGCUUUUGUGCAUCUGCACUCAUGUAUGAGGAAUAACAUUUAGUGACUGAGUUACAUUAUUAGACUUUAUGUUGUGCAGGAGAUCCUUCAGUAUGCUGAUGAAAGGAGUUGCACCGAUUCCAAGGCCAAUAAGAAAAAGGAUGUCGUAUUUCUUGUAAUUUUGAGCUGGUGCGCCGAAAGGGCCAUCAACAAAGAUCUUGGGAAAUCUAAAUAAAGAAAGCCAAGUCACCAAAGUUAGUGCAAUAUCGCCUAAUAUACAUAUCCUCAAGCAAUUCCUUAAGUAAGCUUAAGGUAUAAUCACCUAGUAUUAUCUUCCGCGCCUUCUGCUAUGACUGUGGUCUCAAGUCUUGAUAGUGUAGCCUUCUUGGAAUUUACUUCUUCUUCACAGGCCUGCAUGAAUUAUUAUACUUUUUCAUCAGUUAACUAAAAUAUAGAGUGUAAGCUCCUCACAAGUUGUACUUCUUCUAUGCUCCCUCCUCACUUUUUCUACUGACCUUCCCAAAUAGGUUCCUUAGUUCUGUCGUCCAGUCACCUAAUGUGCGGAUAUGUACACUCAAGUAGUCGUCCCCAGGUGCAGAGGUGAUGGAGAAGGGAUGCCUGCAAACAUUGAAGAAAAUUUUGAAGCCAAAGCCUUGGAAAACUCGUUACUUGGAAAAUAUGGAUGAUGGGAUGGUACCAUUCAAAAGGCGAAACGUCUGGGCAUUUUACAAAGAGGUACAUCCCACUUUUGUAUUUGAAACUUGAUGGCUUCUUCAUGUAAAGAGAGAGAACAUUUCCUGGGUAAAUUGCUGCCUGCAUGACACAUAGAACCAUAAUUACCAGCUCUCUUGUGUACCUGCACUUUACAAUGUAUACUGAGGAAACUUAUAUGUGGUAUUCUUGUAGAAUCUAUAGCUUACCUUGAUGACAGUCACUCCAUAAUUCUUCUCACGAACUCUU